AAUCCAUUCCUUAUUGGCUAGUGUAUGAGCAUCCUCACCCAUAGAAAAUAUUCAACUUUUCGUUUGCUUGUACACUUGUAGUUCUAAGCUAUGUUCAAGACUAUAAGUUUUGUUCUCUAACCAUGUUUGUUUCUUUGCUUGUUCUUUCUUUAGUUACUUUUUAGGCACAAUUCACUGAUUCCAUCUACUCGUUCAAGCACCAGCUCGAAGAAGCGUAACUAGUUUAUCUUAAGAAAUCAUGGAUCUGAAAAAGCUACGCUUCUCGAGAAGAGAUGUUUGACAGAGCAAAGCUAGCAAAACAAACGCGUAAAUAAACAAAGAUGGAGACGAAGGAAAGUUCAAGCUCGACGAUCUAACUCUAAGCGAUUAUGAAGCCACGCCGGCCCUCCCAGAGCUAAAUACGAGGUGAACCUACCAUCCCGAGUGACACUGCACGCUAUAUCCAUAGCCACUCUAUUCGCUUUAGGAGUGGAUAGAUGAAACGUGACUGUCUCCAUACUAAGCACAACUCUGUGAAUCUUGGCUAAUAACGACAGAUAUUUUGGCCAUACAAAUGCAUUUUGAUGUUCUUUUUAAUUUCACCACAAAAAGGUUUUCAAUUCCAUCUCCGGUUAAACUUUGAUUUUCAACUUUAUAUGUGACUCUCUUUUAACAAUGUGUAUUUGUGCAGUAAAAGUUGUUGUAGGAGUAACCAUAAAAUAGCUAUUAGCCAAAAAUCACAAAACGUAAACGCAUAGGUUUUAUGACAAAAUAGACAAAAUCCCUUGAUGUUUUCUAACGAAAAUAGAUAAAAGUAUCUAAUGUUUCAGUGUGUAAAAACUUUUCUUAUGUGAAAAUGUAAAAUAAUAAUGCAUUUGUA